GUUUAUUUAUCCAAAUGUAUCUACCACUAUGACCAUGUAGCCAUGUGCAAGCUCACAUAGAAUAGGAUUUGGUAGAAUUAAUAUGGCAAGGUAACAAAUUGUAAUUAUCAUAUAGAAUGAAUAACACAGAGUGCCCUUGCAUUAGUGGUAUAAAUAAAAAAAAUAUUAGAACUUAUGGAUUUUGCUACUGGCUGGUUAGAAAAGAAAACUUUACCACAACAUGCGACAUUCUAAUUUUGAAAUUUGGAGGGAUAUGUGUGCAUUGUAGUUAUUUUACAAAAAUUGUGUAAUAUACACAUUUGAAAAAAAUAUUCUACUGUUUUAAAUAUAAGAUAAGUGAUAGGAAUUUAUUGAGGCUACUAAAUAAAAGGAAAAACAUUUAAAGUUCAUCAUGCUUAUGGUAAGGUUAUGGUCAAGACAGCUAAGAAUAAAUAUUGACUAUCUGUGUUACAAGUUUAAUUUUUAUAAUAUUUAUUGGAUUUUCGAUGUUAAAUGAGCAAUGCAACUUAGUAAAGCUUCUUUUUAUAAGGAUUACUGUAUAGAAUGAUGAGAAGAUAGAUAAAUUUUAAAAAGGAAUCCCUCGUUUCCGUGAGACAUAACCUCACCAUGGGAGUCAAAAUAAAUGUUUUCUAAAAUUUUUAUAACAUUAGGAUAUCGUUAAACUCUGCAUAAAACCACCAUAACAUUGAUAGAAACUAAAUUAUUCGUGUAAAUAAGGUUAUCAAAGGGAGGGAAUACCAUCAUAGAACAAACGUGCUUACCUCUGGGUUUACGCCAGUUGCGCUUAAGUUUGUCAUAGCGAUCCGAUUGAUGGCGGAUAAACCUUUUCGUCCUCUUUUUGACGAUU